rnacentral:rRNA from 1 species
CGCCUCUUGCAAGAUUAACGAAUAAGAGGUCCCGCCUGCCCUGUGACCACUGAGUUCAACGGCCGCGGUAUCCUGACCGUGCGAAGGUAGCGCAAUCAAUUGCUCCUUAAAUGGGGGCCUGUAUGAAUGGCGCAACGAGGGCUUAACUGUCUCCUUUUUCAGGUCAGUGAAAUUGAUCUCCCCGUGCAGAAGCGGGGGUAAAGCCAUAAGACGAGAAGACCCUAUGGAGCUUUAGACGCCAAGGCAGACCAGGUUUAUCACCCCCCUUUAAAGGGCAAAACUUUUUGGCCUCCUGCCCGAAUGUCUUCGGUUGGGGCGACCCCGGGGGAAAGAAAAGCCCCCGAGCAGAAAGAGAAUCUAAUUCUCCAAGCCGAGAGUCUCCACUCUAAUAAUCAGAACCUCUGACUUAACUGAUCCGGCAAUGCCGAUCAACGGACCAAGUUACCCUAGGGAUAACAGCGCAAUCCUCUUUUAGAGCCCAUAUCGACAAGGGGGUUUACGACCUCGAUGUUGGAUCAGGACAUCCUAAUGGCGCAGCCGCUAUUAAGGGUUCGUUUGUUCAACGAUUAAAGUCCUA